rnacentral:tmRNA from 1 species
GGGGGUGAUCUGGAUUCGACCGGAUGUUUUGAAGCGGUGGUUGCGUGUCGUGGUUGAUCAGUUGGCCACGUAAAAAGCUGAUCACAAUUUUUAGUUGCAGAUGAAAGUCUAGCACUGGCCGCCUAAGAACAGGCAGCCCGGACUGAUGGGGAUCGCCAGAGUCGCCUGAAAGUCCGUUGCAAUUCUGGAUCGCCCGCCGUCCUACUCGAGACGCGGCGGGUCAAAACCUGAUUCGAGUUAGCGAGCGGCGGAGCCUGUCGGGCAGCGUCGCAGUGAGCGAAAGGGGUUCACUGGGGUAACUCAGAUGAACCUGAAAUAGCUCGACUACACACGUAGACGCCGUCGUGGAUGCAUCGCGGGACGCGGGUUCAAUUCCCGCCGCCUCCACUG